rnacentral:rRNA from 1 species
AUUGAACGCUGGCGGCAGGCCUAACACAUGCAAGUCGAGCGGAUGAAGGGAGCUUGCUCCUGGAUUCAGCGGCGGACGGGUGAGUAAUGCCUAGGAAUCUGCCUGGUAGUGGGGGAUAACGUCCGGAAACGGGCGCUAAUACCGCAUACGUCCUGAGGGAGAAAGUGGGGGAUCUUCGGACCUCACGCUAUCAGAUGAGCCUAGGUCGGAUUAGCUAGUUGGUGGGGUAAAGGCGUACCAAGGCGACGAUCCGUAACUGGUCUGAGAGGAUGAUCAGUCACACUGGAACUGAGACACGGUCCAGACUCCUACGGGAGGCAGCAGUGGGGAAUAUUGGACAAUGGGCGAAAGCCUGAUCCAGCCAUGCCGCGUGUGUGAAGAAGGUCUUCGGAUUGUAAAGCACUUUAAGUUGGGAGGAAGAGCAGUAAGUUAAUACCUUGCUGUUUUGACGUUACCAACAGAAUAAGCACCGGCUAACUUCGUG